ACAAACUGUGGGAAUGCCUGGAGAGAGGGACCUGCCCAGUUCAACAGCUGUGUAAGGCCGGAGCGCAGGAGCCAGCGCGCACAUCUGGUAACCUCAUCAUUUAAACUCGACUGGAGACUCAGUGUGACAGCUGCCUCCCAAGUGAUCCCUCCAGUGCCCGGACUGACAACAGAUUUUUGUCCAGCUGAACUCCCCUGGGCUCCAUAUCUUACCUAGCGGCGGUUGCUAGGUAAGAGAGGGAGACGUUUUUGCACAAGAGAAGCAUUAAGGGGAACACUAUGACACAACUGCUUGGUAUUUCAUUACAUUAUUUAAAGGAGCGGCAGCUUCUCUGAAAUCCAACCAGCAGAGAUAGCAGGGCAGGUGGGAGGAGAGCCCAGACAUACAAGCCCACUGAAAGAUCACGGGACGGAGCAGCGGGUGAGGAAGGGUCAGCUGCAGCUGUUGGCAAAUUUUAAACUGAUCAAGGACAGCUUCUCAACUCCAGGAUCCCACCCACAGUUGUUCUUUUUGGAACCAACGUUGGUAGCACUGAGAUGCUGCAAAACAAGCACCAAGCUUCCACCCCUCUGCUGACAAGCUUGUGUCCCGCAGGCCCCAUUAGGUCAGUCACUACUUGGAGGCUUUGAAUGGCAGCGCAGCAAGAGCAGUUGGCAGGAAUCUCAGAACCAUUCUGCCUGCAAUCUAGUUCCCACCAGUCAUGGCACUCUGGAGGAAAAAGAAACACCA